rnacentral:rRNA from 1 species
CCUACGGGAGGCUGCAGUGGGGAAUAUGGGACAAUGGGGGGAACCCUGAUCCAGCCAUGCCGCGGGUGUGAAGAAGGCCCUCGGGUUGUAAAGCACUUUCAGUGAGGAAGAACGCCUGGUGGUUAAUACCCAUCAGGAAAGACAUCACUCACAGAAGAAGCACCGGCUAACUCCGUGCCAGCAGCCGCGGUAAUACGGAGGGUGCGAGCGUUAAUCGGAAUUACUGGGCGUAAAGCGCGUGUAGGUGGCUUGAUAAGCCGGUUGUGAAAGCCCCGGGCUCAACCUGGGAACGGCAUCCGGAACUGUCAAGCUAGAGUGCAGGAGAGGAAGGUAGAAUUCCCGGUGUAGCGGUGAAAUGCGUAGAGAUCGGGAGGAAUACCAGUGGCGAAGGCGGCCUUCUGGACUGACACUGACACUGAGGUGCGAAAGCGUGGGUAGCAAACAGGAUUAGAUACCCCAGUAGUC